rnacentral:rRNA from 1 species
GUCCUAGCCCUAAACGAUCAGGACUUGGGGUGCCACCCGUUCGGGUGUCGUCCCGGAGCUAACGCGUUAAGUCCUGCACCUGGGGAGUACGGUCGCAAGACUGAAACUCAAAGGAAUUGACGGGGCCCGCACAAGCGGUGGAACAUGUGGUUCAAUUCGACGCUACGCGAGGAACCUUACCUGGGCUCGAAAUGCUUCGGACCAGCUGUAGAAAUACGGCCUUCCCGCAAGGGACCGGAGUAUAGGCGCUGCAUGGCUGUCGU